CGCAAUUCUUCAGGUUCUUCGGUUUCCGUUUCAGUUCUUCUUCCCCUUCUUCUUUGAAUUUUCUGUUACUGUGAGCGUUGAAUCGAUGAUGAUGACGUUGAUUGUUUGUUGUUGAAAAUGCAGAGGCAAUGAAUGUUGAUGGAGAAUUCGUUUAGAGAUGAGUUGUCGCGUUUCUGCAGAAAAAGCGUAGAAGAUUGAAGGAAUGGAUCGUGAGGAUACAUUUGCUGGAGACCGUUGCGAUGAAGAUGAUGAAAUCGUCGUGACAAAUUUCUCAGGUCGCGCAGAUUCAAUCGUAGAAGAAGCAAGGACAUGGAGUGUUGAAGGAUGGGAAGUCAUCAACGGUAGAAGAAGAUGAAGGUCUGAGAGUGUGAGAAGUGAGGUGAUGAUGGUGAUCAAGUGGAGAGAGUGUGGUGGUUAUGGUGCGUGUGUGUACAAAAAUGGUGGAGGACCUGAUCAAAUGGAGAGAGGUUCUGUUAUAUAGGUGGUGAAGAUUGAGAACUCAGUUACAGCUUCAAGCAUUCUCAACCCUAGGAUCAAAAGUCAGAUAUAAUAUCGAAGGUGAGGAUUAUUUCUGAUUAAAAGGGUUAUGGGACAUGCUACUGCAGGAGGUUUGAGAUGUAUGUACAUUGACCAGUAUUUUUGUGAGGUCUGAUUGUUGAAAAAGGUUAGAUUUUUAUAGGUUAGAAAUGGUUUUGUAUAGGGAUUCUGUUUACGAGAAGUUGGAAGGCUGUUGUAUUUUUCUGUUUUGAUAUAUGUUGAGUUUUGGUUUCUUUGUGAUGCAUAUGGGACUGGUCUUUCUUUGUGUAGGAUUCAUUAAAUGAGCUGAUGCUGAAUUGUGGUUUUGACUGAUAUGUGCAGGUUGUGGCGAUGAAGUGA